rnacentral:snRNA from 1 species
UUGCUUCAGCAGCACAAAUACUAAAAAAUUGAAAUGAUACAGAGAAGUUUAGCAUGCCCCUUGUGCAAGGAUGACAUGCAAAUUCAUGAAGUAUAUCAUAAUUUU